UGGAAUUCACAUAAACUGUCUGAGGUCA
rnacentral:piRNA from 1 species